AAGGGUGCGUAAUGUAUAGGUUAUCUGCCCUUUGGUCUGGGAUAACUCAUCGAAAGAUGAGAUAAAACCAGAUGAUGAGGAAACUCCAAAGGUAACGCCAAAGGAUGAGCCUAUAUCCCAUCAGGUAGUUGGUAGGGUAAUGGCCUACCAAGCCGACGACGGGUAGCUGGUCUGAGAGGAUGAUCAGCCACACUGGAACUGAGACACGGUCCAGACGUCUACGGAUGGCAGCAGUGAGGAAUAUUGCUCAAUGGGUGAAAGCCUGAAGCAGCGACGCCGCGUGGGCGAUGAAGGUCUUCGGAUUGUAAAACCCUUUUGCAGGGGACGAAAAACUCGCUCGGCGAGCCUGACGGUACCCUGCGAAUAAGCCACGGCUAACUCUGUGCCAGCAGCCGCGGUGAUACAGAGGUGGCGAGCGUUGUCCGGAUUUACUGGGUGUAAAGGGUGCGUAGGCGGAUUUGCAAGUCGAGGGUUAAAGACCUUCGCUUAACGAAGGGAAUGCUCUCGAUACUGUAAG
rnacentral:rRNA from 1 species